GGCUUCCAGGACGCGGGUCUGCGCCCGCGUGCUCCCCGCCCCUCUGCUGGCUCAUGCAUUCGUUCAGUCCGCGGGUACUUUAUCCUGCGCCUUCUUGUGUCGGGCCUGUGCCAGAGUUUGGGACGAGACACACGGGAGAGCAAAACCCAUUGUCUCUCCUCCCAAGUUUAAAUUCCAGGGGGCAGGCAGCCGAGUCAAUACACGAAUAAAUGAAUAAUACAAAUAGCGAUAUGGGCUUUGAAGGAACAAAACGGAGGAUUAACAAGACAUGAAUGCAAUUUGGAAGACAGGGACCUCUGAAGAGGGAAAAAUCUCGAGAAGAAAAAGAGGACAAGUAAUGAGUCUUGGUGAACAGAACUUUAAAAGUUGGAGAGAGGAGGAGGAAUCUGAGAAGGCAGAGCCAGAAAGAAAAGAAAGGGCCAUAUCACCUGAGGGUAAGGAGAAGGGAGUGGGAUGUUUAGGAGAGAGAAUGUAUAAAAUCAACAUCUUUGCAACUGGAAAAUUUGGUUUUCUAAAGAAAACUAAUCAGUGGGACUUCUGGGCACUAUUAAGAGCUCAUUUGGUUUUUGACAUCAUGGAAAUAAAAUAAUUGAAGAUAUUUGACCGUUCAGGUGCGGAGAGGACAGGUUGUUGAAUUCAUCUGAGACGGGGGUUUUGCCAGGCAAGUACAACAGAGUGGAAGAAGGACUAAGGGAAUGUUUGCAAGAGAAUGUUUAUGAUGAUGUAUGCAGAAUCAAAGUCAUGCAGAAAAGCAAAUGGUGGUAUGUGAGGGCUGAUAGCGGAGAGGUGGAGGGGAGCUGGGAAAGGGGCCAAGGUAUUAGAAGCAUUGGUGUCCAAGAAUGGUUGCAGUGAAAUAUUUGAGCAUGUGAGUGGGCAGUACAAAUGCUAGUGGUCUGAGUCGGGUAUUUGGAACCGAAGUGUCAGAGGUUGAGAGUUUCUGCUGAUGCUAAAGUCCAGGGUAAGCCUAAGGGAAUGGAAGACUGAAGCAGAUGCACACCCCGUUAGAACUGACAGGCUAGGGUGUUCAAUUUAUUAUCCAAGUAGAAGUUUAAGUGAGCUAGUAUUGGCAUGAAGAGAGAGACUACAAGAGAGGAACUAAGUUGUUGAGGACAGAAUGCAGGAAUGUUGGCAAAUGAUACAAACAGGAGGGGUGGAUGGUGGUCUAGCCUUCCUUUUGGCGACUGCCACUCUCCUUUUCCCUGUCUGACCCCUUUCCUCUUCCCUCACGCAGUAUGUUCAGCCUCUUCUCCAUCAUUUCCCCCAUCUCCUCCUCUUUUUUAUUUACUUACUCCCAAUCCUCCACCCCGCCUUUUCCCAUUUCUAACUUCCUCCCCUUCUCCCAUCUAUUUCUCCUUUCCUGUUCUUCUCCCAUCCUCUUUCUUUGCACCUCUAAUCCCUUCUCCCUUAAAUUCCUACUUCCUACCUUUCCCUCCCCACCAUGGAAGAAGGAAUGGAAUAGCUCAAUUAUCACAGCUAGAGAAAUCUUAUCAUUGAUAACUUAUUAUUCAUAUUGCUUCAAAAUGUUCCCUUUUUGCUUUUUUAUUGAGCCCUGUCAUAAUUACUGUCUUAUUGAUUUAGUGUCAUUGCUAUACUAAUAUACUCAUCUUACAGAUGAAACCAAAGCCAAAAGUUCUCCAAGGACAGCCAGCCAGUAAGUAGCGGGAGCUGAAAUUCAGGGCUUCUGAAUCCUAGCCUCGUGUUGUUGUUGUUGGCAUUAUCUCAUUUAAAAGCAGAGCAUACCAAGGUUGAAGGAAUUGUAGAGUUCCUAAGUCCAAAGUCUUCAUGUUAUCAAAGGGCAACAGGUAAGAAAGUAAGUUCCUUGUCCAAGAUCUUUUCUCACUUUAAUACAACAGAUGUUUGGAUUCAGGGAGGAUUAAUAGACAGGGGCAUGUGACCAAGAUUAGGGAGACCUAUGUUUAAGUCCCUAUGCUACCAAUAAAUCACUAUAACCUUGGGAAACUCCUGUGAAUCUCUGAACUUCAGUUUUUCAUCUUUCAACUAGGACGUGGAGAGAAGGGUAAAAUGAAAGCAUUGGUCUAGAUGACCUCAAACCAUCCUACGAUGUUAAGUAUUUUGGAUGAGAAAAGAGGCAGUUAUCCAACUGCUGCUGCUACGCCUCUUGAGGGCAUGUCCCUGGUGCCUAGCACCAGGAUUUGCAAACUUUUUCUGUAAAGAGCCAGAUAAUAAAUCCUUUAGGUUUUGUGGGCCAUACCAUCUCUGUUGCAGCUACACAACUUUGUUAUUAUAGUACGAAAGCAGCCUCAGACAAUACGUAAACAAAUGAACGUGAUUAUGUUCCAAAAAACCAUUUCUAUGGACACUUAAAUUUGAAUUUCACUUAUUUUGCACAUAUCCCCAAAUGUUACUCUUUCUUUUAUUUUUUUUCAUCCAUUUAAAAAUACAAAAACCAUUGUUGGCUUCUAGUUUGUACUAAAACAGGUGCCCACAGGCUACAGCUGCUCCUGCCUGGCACAGUGCCUGAUGUUAGAAAUCCAGUCUGAGCUUGGAGGAAGUCUUCAACCCUCCACCUGCCAGGGAGGAGGAGCUAGGACGUAUGUCAGCUGAAAAUAAGUACAACUGGUCAUAUUACUAAGAGGUAGUAGGAGUACAAAAGAAGCCAUAUUAAAGCAAAUAUGCCUCUU